UACAGAGGUCUCAACCGUUGUUCGGAUUCAUUGGGCGUAAAGGGUGCGUAGGCGGGUUUUUAAGUCAGGGGUGAAAUCCUGGAGCUCAACUCCAGAACUGCCUUUGAUACUGAAGAUCUUGAGUUCGGGAGAGGUGAGUGGAACUGCGAGUGUAGAGGUGAAAUUCGUAGAUAUUCGCAAGAACACCAGUGGCGAAGGCGGCUUACUGGCCCGAUACUGACGCUGAGGCACGAAAGCGUGGGGAGCAAACAGG
rnacentral:rRNA from 1 species